rfam:Aschersonia aleyrodis RCEF 2490 scaffold_7, whole genome shotgun sequence.
ACAUACGACCAUAGCCACAUGAAAGAUCUGGAUCCCGUUCGAUCUCCGAGCGAUAAUCAUGUGAGCGCUGGAUUAGUAGUUGGGUCGGUGACGACCAGCGAAUACCUAGUGUUGUAUGUU